UGGACUCCCUCCCACCUCUAUUAGUUGUGAUGUCAAGUUAUGACACCAAAUACACACACACCAAGAAGGUAUAAAAGUAUUCAUUACUUACAUUAUUGAAGUUCAGAAUUCCUUGAGGGAGACAGAAAAGGGGACUGGCCUGAGUUUUUAUUGUAGUUGGGAAUGGGGUUGGGCCCACCUGUGUACAUAUAGGGGCUUGUGUAAUAUUAAUUUCCUUUCAGAGUGCCAAAGGAGAAAGUACCUAGGGUUUUUAUAAGCUAACCCAGAUGUGGGGCACAAAAGGUAGAGUGAAGCUAGGCUUAAAAGUUAUCAACAUCAAACAUCAAAAAAUGGAGUCAGAAUCUUCAUUGCAACUCACUAACUGGAAAUGGUAGCCUAAUAGACCCUGGCAGAUCAAGAGAAGGUAGCCACACAAGUAUCAGUGGCUUUCCUUAAAUUAACAAGGAAAAAAUACCAUUAAUUCUACCAACUGACAUCAUGAUGAUUACAAAGCAAUCUCCCAGCCUUUGGAAUUGUAGUUGACAGUGCCUGAGCUUGCUGACUUCUAGUGGCUGCCCUCUAGAUGAAGAAGCAAGGCUCACCCACCAUCUCCUCUCAACGUGGACAGCCCAACUUUUGCCUUAUGAAGUUCAAGUUGUAAGGAGUGAGACUCAGAGAGAAAAGCAAAGGGAAUUAAGGGAAGAGCAGGUUUCCCUUCUAUGGAUAGUGGAAUUUCAUGUAUCAGUCAUAAAAUAGUGGCACAACAAAGAGUAUCCAGCCCAUUUUGUGGUGGAGGAAACUGAAGCGGAGUUUAAAUGACUUACAGUACUCCCAAUGUUCUUGUCUAAGACUUCCCAAAACUCAGUUCUCCAGGCUCUAUGUCCCUCUUUCAGUACCAUGAUGCCUAGUUGUGUGGCAAAUUAUGUUUUGAGCAAAUGACAAGUAUCA
rnacentral:lncRNA from 1 species